rnacentral:rRNA from 1 species
CCUACGGGAGGCAGCAGUGGGAAAUUUUGGACAAUGGGCGCAAGCCUGAUCCAGCAAUGCCGCGUGAGUGAAGAAGGCCUUCGGGUUGUAAAGCUCUUUUGUCAGGGAAGAAACGGUCUUGGAUAAUACCUGGGGCUAAUGACGGUACCUGAAGAAUAAGCACCGGCUAACUACGUGCCAGCAGCCGCGGUAAU